CGGGUCUUUAUCAUGCACUGGGCAAGGGCAGGCAGCCACUCAGUGUGAAACCCCGAAACAAGGAUGACACUGACUCAGGGAACUGAAUCGCAGGAAAAGAGGGUGCCACUGGUGCUUCCUCCAGCACACCUUUGACCUGGAGCUGCAAACACCCACUUCUUUCCCGGCCUAGCUCCUCCCCUUGACCCUGGGGACUGCAGAUUACUUAACAGUUAUAUUUAGCAAGCCCAUGGAAGGGACUAGCCUUCCAGCCAACGAGUCCUCUUCCUUCAGAGAUCAGGAUUCUUUUGUCUUCUCCCUUCCCCUCCCCUCCGAUUCCUUCCUUCCGGCAGCUGACUCUUAACCCCUUCGUGGCUUGAGGGUUCGCCUGCAGGCCUCACCCUUAGGCAGAACAGACUAUGAGAGGUGCCACCCAAGUGCCCUGGGACCCAAACUCCUGCCUCGGCAGCCUGAAACUCUGCUCCACAAAUCUCUCUUGGAGCCUGAAUAUUUUUUAUCAUCUGGUGUUUCCUCAUAAGAUUAUGCAAGUACCCUUGGGAAGGGAAAUGACUUAAGCUUUUCUUGUAUCGGCUCACAGACUCUGAAGAAUGGGCACAGGUCAAGGCUUUGGAGGAGAGAAGGUGGACUGGAGACCAAGAAAGCCGACUUCUGGUGAAAAGAAAAAGAUUGAUGAUUCCCCCCAAUUCACUAGCAUGGAGCGAAGGAGUGAAAAAAGAAAAGCAUAAAUCCACAAGGACCAACUCAAUGGAGGAGAACUCAUUGGCGAGAGUUUCUCCCCGGGGCUGGGUCAGCGGGGUUGUUCUGACGCUGGAGCCAUUCAGAGGCUGACUUGGUUGAAUUCUCUCCACCGCACCCUUGGGAGGGGAUCAGGGAGCCCUGCCAGUGUUUUCCUGAAGAAAUGUGACGGACAAGACAGAAUUCUGCUUUCUUCCGGUUUGGUUUGCAAGAGGGCGAACCAGGGGGGUUUCCGUUUUCCGUGUUCGCGGACUCACACACACACCAGAUGGACUUGGCCUUGCUGUCUACACGUGAGGGCUCAGCCGACACCUGGAGCGGGCGCCCGGCCGGCAUCGGUGCGGGUAACAGCUCCGUCCGCAGCCCAGCGAGGACCCAGCACGCCACUUUCCUUGGCGGAUGCGGAUCCCCGGCCCGGGUGGGUGAACCAGCCUUUGACCUGCAAACCCAGCUCCCCCGUUUGACCUGCGCAGUCCCCUGUAACAUGCUUAAAAGUGCCAUAAAACCCAGGACCUGGCUGCUAGGAUCCCCAAACGAUAACUCAGAGGCCCCCAUCCCUCAGGGUCAUCGUACCCACCUGGCUGGCAAGAUGCUUAGCAGAGAAACAAGUUGAAACACUCUGUGUGGGCAGACCUUGCAAAAUGUGCUCAAUGAGAAUAAAAUACAUAAGAUGGUAUGAACCACUUGGGAAAGCCCCUGACACACAGUCAGCAUUCAUAUAAAACAUCAGUUAUUACUCUGAUCAUAACCACUAUCACCUACUUUGCCCAGGAAAUGUGCUAGAAACAGAUAAAUUUACACUCUAGUCUCUUACCACAAAAGGCCUUUCAUUUCUUAAUUAAA